rnacentral:rRNA from 1 species
UUCGUGUUGUGAAAUGUUGGGUUAAGUCCCGCAACGAGCGCAACCCUUAUCCUUUGUUGCCAGCGGUUAGGCCGGGAACUCAAAGGAGACUGCCAGUGAUAAACUGGAGGAAGGUGGGGAUGACGUCAAGUCAUCAUGGCCCUUACGACCAGGGCUACACACGUGCUACAAUGGCAUAUACAAAGAGAAGCGACCUCGCGAGAGCAAGCGGACCUCAUAAAGUAUGUCGUAGUCCGGAUUGGAGUCUGCAACUCGACUCCAUGAAGUCGGAAUCGCUAGUAAUCGUAGAUCAGAAUGCUACGGUGAAUACGUUCCCGGGCCUUGUACACACCGCCCGUCACACCAUGGGAGUGGGUUGCAAAAGAAGUAGGUAGCUUAACCUU